rnacentral:misc_RNA from 1 species
CCAGGGGCUAUCCUUUUUGUAGAAGCAAGCUUGGUCAGCUCUGCAACAGCCUCCUUUCUUUCUGACCACUUGGCAGCUUUCACUCCAUCCCAAAAUCCAGAUUUCUCCAAAGGAGUCAAAAUAUCUACAGGAUCGACAAGCUCAUACUCAUCUAUUUCCUGAGGAGCAUCAGCUACAGCUUCUUCUGAAUGGCCAAUACCCACGACUUCAGAUACAGCUUCUGGCUCCGGCUCCUUGUCUUGCUCAGAUCUGAUCUUACGAGAUGGCUUAGCAGCCCCCACAACAUUAACAAGCUCAGCCUCCAGCUCUUUUUUCAUUGUAUCCCUCAUCUUCUCAAACAAUAAUGAUUUCACUGGGUCUUUCCCAAUCCAACGACAAAGCUCUAGUGUUAGUCCUUUAGAGGAUGCACGAACAUUCUGAUCCUGAUGGUCAAACAGUUCUGGAAGCAUCUUCAGAAUCCUCUUUGGAGGAACAACUUUCGCUCCAAAUUCACUCAACGCUUGAAACAUAACAUCAAUUGC